GAGGCACUAUGAGCCCCUGAAUUCUGCUGUCCAUGUUGCUAGGCUAGAAACCCAAGAACAGUUUGCUGAAGAAGAGGCACGUCUCAAGGACCGCAACCUCUGGGAACAAAGGGUGUCCCAGCUCUCAAAGGUGGGAGGGAGGAACAAUAAAGACUGCGUCCAUAAAGUGAUGGACAGGCUCUUCACCAACAGCCUAAUGGCUUCUUUCAAGAUGAAGGGGCGGG